rnacentral:rRNA from 1 species
GUGUGACUGCGUACCUUUUGUAUAAUGGGUCAGCGACUUAUAUUCUGUAGCAAGGUUAACCGAAUAGGGGAGCCGGAGGGAAACCGAGUCUUAAUUGGGCGUUAAGUUGCAGGGUAUAGACCCGAAACCCGGUGAUCUAGCCAUGGGCAGGUUGAAGGUUGGGUAACACUAACUGGAGGACCGAACCGACUAAUGUUGAAAAAUUAGCGGAUGACCUGUGGCUGGGGGUGAAAGGCCAAUCAAACCGGGAGAUAGCUGGUUCUCCCCGAAAGCUAUUUAGGUAGCGCCUCGUGAAUUCAUCUCCGGGGGUAGAGCACUGUUUCGGCUAGGGGGCCAUCCCGGCUUACCAACCCGAUGCAAACUGCGAAUACCGGAGAAUGUUAUCACGGGAGACACACGGCGGGUGCUAACGUCCGUCGUGAAGAGGGAAACAACCCAGACCGCCAGCUAAGGUCCCAAAGUCAUGGUUAAGUGGGAAACGAUGUGGGAAGGCCCAGACAGCCAGGAUGUUGGCUUAGAAGCAGCCAUCAUUUAAAGAAAGCGUAAUAGCUCACUGGUCGAGUCGGCCUGCGCGGAAGAUGUAACGGGGCUAAACCAUGCACCGAAGCUGCGGCAGCGACACUCAGGUGUUGUUGGGUAGGGGAGCGUUCUGUAAGCCUGCGAAGGUGGCCUGUGAGGGUUGCUGGAGGUAUCAGAAGUGCGAAUGCUGACAUAAGUAACGAUAAAGCGGGUGAAAAGCCCGCUCGCCGGAAGACCAAGGGUUCCUGUCCAACGUUAAUCGGGGCAGGGUGAGUCGACCCCUAAGGCGAGGCCGAAAGGCGUAGUCGAUGGGAAACGGGUUAAUAUUCCCGUACUUGGUGUUACUGCGAAGGGGGGACGGAGAAGGCUAUGUUGGCCGGGCGACGGUUGUCCCGGUUUAAGCGUGUAGGUGUGUGUUCCAGGUAAAUCCGGUUCACUUUAACACUGAGGCGUGACGACGAGGCACUACGGUGCUGAAGCAACAAAUGCCCUGCUUCCAGGAAAAGCCUCUAAGCAUCAGGUAACAUCAAAUCGUACCCCAAACCGACACAGGUGGUCAGGUAGAGAAUACCAAGGCGCUUGAGAGAACUCGGGUGAAGGAACUAGGCAAAAUGGUGCCGUAACUUCGGGAGAAGGCACGCUGACACUGUAGGUGAAGUGAUUUACUCAUGGAGCUGAAGUCAGUCGAAGAUACCAGCUGGCUGCAACUGUUUAUUAAAAACACAGCACUGUGCAAACACGAAAGUGGACGUAUACGGUGUGACGCCUGCCCGGUGCCGGAAGGUUAAUUGAUGGGGUCAGCGCAAGCGAAGCUCCUGAUCGAAGCCCCGGUAAACGGCGGCCGUAACUAUAACGGUCCUAAGGUAGCGAAAUUCCUUGUCGGGUAAGUUCCGACCUGCACGAAUGGCGUAAUGAUGGCCAGGCUGUCUCCACCCGAGACUCAGUGAAAUUGAACUCGCUGUGAAGAUGCAGUGUACCCGCGGCAAGACGGAAAGACCCCGUGAACCUUUACUAUAGCUUGACACUGAACAUUGAGCCUUGAUGUGUAGGAUAGGUGGGAGGCUUUGAAGUGUGGACGCCAGUCUGCAUGGAGCCGACCUUGAAAUACCACCCUUUAAUGUUUGAUGUUCUAACGUGGACCCGUGAUCCGGGUUGCGGACAGUGUCUGGUGGGUAGUUUGACUGGGGCGGUCUCCUCCUAAAGAGUAACGGAGGAGCACGAAGGUUGGCUAAUCCUGGUCGGACAUCAGGAGGUUAGUGCAAUGGCAUAAGCCAGCUUGACUGCGAGCGUGACGGCGCGAGCAGGUGCGAAAGCAGGUCAUAGUGAUCCGGUGGUUCUGAAUGGAAGGGCCAUCGCUCAACGGAUAAAAGGUACUCCGGGGAUAACAGGCUGAUACCGCCCAAGAGUUCAUAUCGACGGCGGUGUUUGGCACCUCGAUGUCGGCUCAUCACAUCCUGGGGCUGAAGUAGGUCCCAAGGGUAUGGCUGUUCGCCAUUUAAAGUGGUACGCGAGCUGGGUUUAGAACGUCGUGAGACAGUUCGGUCCCUAUCUGCCGUGGGCGCUGGAGAACUGAGGGGGGCUGCUCCUAGUACGAGAGGACCGGAGUGGACGCAUCACUGGUGUUCGGGUUGUCAUGCCAAUGGCACUGCCCGGUAGCUAAAUGCGGAAGAGAUAAGUGCUGAAAGCAUCUAAGCACGAAACUUGCCCCGAGAUGAGUUCU